AGUGGAGUUAAUGAAGUUCAAGCGAUUUUCUCAGGUCGCCACCGUUCAUCUAUCUGAGUCUUCCCAUGAAUAACACAAGAUAUGAAGUAUUACACUUGGACAUAACAAGAUACGGGAUCAAUGGCAUGAGCUAGGAAGAAGGAUGAUUUCUUACCCGUGUUGUGUAAGCAGCUUCAGGGUCAUCUUCAAGGACCCUGGAGAGUCCAAAGUCAGACACUUUACACACCAAGUUGCUGUUGACAAGGAUGUUGCGAGCAGCCAAGUCCCGAUGCACAUAGCCCAUGUCGGACAAGUACUUCAUACCAGAAGCUAUCCCCCGAAGCAUGCCGACAAGCUGAAUGACUGUGAACUGGGCAUCAUGCUUCUGAAAGAGAAUGGAUAAAGUUUUUAAGUAACGUUUGAAGCCCACAAGUCGGAUGUUUAUUUGAACUGCUGCACCUGGCGAGCCAUCAGUAUGCUUACCCUGAGAAAACUGUCCAAGGAACCAUUCUCCAUGUAUUCUGUAACAAUCAUGACAGGCUUACCUAAAAGAAAUAAGUCACAAAUGAAAGCAAAACGUAGCAUGAUAUAUGUUGGAAUUAAAAAGUAUUAUCCUGUU